rnacentral:rRNA from 1 species
AUUGAACGCUGGCGGCAGGCCUAACACAUGCAAGUCGAGCGGAUGAAGGGAGCUUGCUCCUGGAUUCAGCGGCGGACGGGUGAGUAAUGCCUAGGAAUCUGCCUGGUAGUGGGGGAUAACGUCUGGAAACGGGCGCUAAUACCGCAUACGUCCUGAGGGAGAAAGUGGGGGAUCUUCGGACCUCACGCUAUCAGAUGAGCCUAGGUCGGAUUAGCUAGUUGGUGGGGUAAGGCCUACCAAGGCGACGAUCCGUAACUGGUCUGAGAGGAUGAUCAGUCACACUGGAACUGAGACACGGUCCAGACUCCUACGGGAGGCAGCAGUGGGGAAUAUUGGACAAAGGGCGAAAGCCUGAUCCAGCCAUGCCGCGUGUGUGAAGAAGGUCUUCGGAUUGUAAAGCACUUUAAGUUGGGAGGAAGGGCAGUAAGUUAAUACCUUGCUGUUUUGACGUUACCAACAGAAUAAGCACCGGCUAACUUCGUG